AUUAUUUCCUGUUGUGUAUUUGUAAGAAAGCAGUGAUACGAAGAAAACAAAAAGAGAAAAUCAUGUCAUCUGAGAUUCAAAGAGAAAGAUAGUAACAUGUAAGUUGUAACUUUAAAAAAUCUGAUAUAUAUAUACGAUUCAAAAUGACAAAUACAAUAUGACUUUUUAAUCUAAGGGAUGUUGUUAAAAAUCAAAACAUAUAUUAAUUUCUAUCAUUUUAUAAUGCUGAUCUUGAAGUUUAUACGUUUCGGGCGAAAUAUUUUCUAGAUUUUAAAUCAUUUCAAUCCUAUCAAUUAUCAUGAAAUAUUUGCCACUGAACAUUAGUAUUUUCAAACAAAUGGUAAGUUAUAUAAAUCUAUAACCACAACAUGUAUGAUCAUUACCGAAGUUAAUGGAAUAAAAUUGUCUUAAGAUGUACCUUAUUCCGUAAUGUUUCAAAAAUGUGGUAUAAUGAUUUCUAAAUCAUUAAAAUAUAAAUGAAUUCGUUAGUUUUAUUGUAUUUCUAAAUCGCAUGCAAACAGAUACGAUAUAUUUGUGAAACCUGAUCAUACACACACUUGAAUGUGUAACAGUGUUUUAAUAUAUCAAAUACAUAACUUCAUUAAUACACAUCUAAAUUAUUCUUUAUAUAUAUCAUGUAUAUUACGAAUAUAUAAAGUAUGAUACCGAAUUCUGAAAUAAUAGUAAUAAGGGUUUGUUAUACCCACAAAUCCGUCUAAUACUAAUGAAUUUCUGACCAUUAGACAAAUAACCAAUAUAAAAAAAAUGGUUAUUUAAGAUUUUAUUUUGUAUUAAAUAGUGUUUAAACUAUUUAGAAUAUACAUUAAUUUAUAUUGCAUAUCUAGAAGGGAGAUUACGCACGAAUGCAUUAGGCAAAUACACAGUUCAAGCUUACUUAUAACUUUAUUACAGAGUCGGUUAGAAAAAAACAUAGCUGUAAAGAGUCUUCGGAUAAGGAGAUAGAUGAUGCAGCUAAAGAUUGGCGGCGCUUAAGCCUUGACAGAGAAGGUGGCAAGAAACAGAGAAGGGAAAAAAAGAAUAACAUAUAUAAAUAAUAAUGACACUUUUGAAGUUCAAAUUGAGGAGGAC
rnacentral:lncRNA from 1 species